rnacentral:rRNA from 1 species
UACGGAGGGGGCUAGCGUUGUUCGGAAUUACUGGGCGUAAAGCGCGCGUAGGCGGUCUGUCGCGUCGGCUGUGAAAUCCCGAGGCUCAACCUCGGGUCUGCAGUCGAUACGGGCAAACUAGAGUAUUGCAGGGGAGACUGGAAUUCCUGGUGUAGCGGUGAAAUGCGCAGAUAUCAGGAGGAACACCGGUGGCGAAGGCGGGUCUCUGGGCAAUAACUGACGCUGAAGAGCGAAAGCGUGGGGAGCGAACAGG